GAUCAUGGCUCAGGAUGAACGCUAGCUACAGGCUUAACACAUGCAAGUCGAGGGGCAGCGGGAUUGAAGCUUGCUUCAAUUGCCGGCGACCGGCGCACGGGUGAGUAACGCGUAUCCAACCCUCCGUACACUCAGGGAUAGCCUUUCGAAAGAAAGAUUAAUACCUGAUGGUAUGAUGACAUCCCACGAAGGCAUCCGAAUGGGAUUAAAGAUUUAUCGGUGAUGGAUGGGGA
rnacentral:rRNA from 1 species